CUACGGGUUGCAGCAGUGAGGAAUUUUGCGCAAUGGGGGAAACCCUGACGCAGCAACGCCGCGUGAGCGAGGAAGGCCUUCGGGUCGUAAAGCUCUGUCAAGUGGGAAAAAAAUCUUUUGAUCAAUAGUCAAAGGACUUGAUGGUACCACUGGAGGAAGCACCGGCUAACUCCGUGCCAGCAGCCGCGGUAAUACGGAGGGGGCAAGCGUUGUUCGGAAUUACUGGGCGUAAAGAGCGUGUAGGCGGUUUGGCAAGUCAGAUGUGAAAGCCCCGGGCUUAACCUGGGAAGUGCAUUUGAAACUGCUUAACUAGAGUAUGGGAGAGGAGAUUGGAAUUCCUGGUGUAGAGGUGAAAUUCGUAGAUAUCAGGAGGAACGCCCAUGGCGAAGGCGAUUCUCUGGACCAAUACUGACGCUGAGACGCGAAAGCGCGGGGAGCAGACAGGAUUAGAUACCCCCGUAGUC
rnacentral:rRNA from 1 species